ACCUGACUGGCUUAGUCGGUGGAGCAUGGGACUCUUAAUCCCGGGGUCAAGAGUUUGAGCCCCACGUCAGGUG
rnacentral:tRNA from 1 species